AUUGAACGCUGGCGGCAGGCCUAACACAUGCAAGUCGAACGGAAGAAGAGUACUAGCUUGUUGAUACGGGGGGGGACGGGUGAGCGAUGCCUAGGAAUAUCGCUGGUUGUGGGUGAUAAGGGCCUGACGCGGGGGCACAUACGCCAUAAGUGCUGAGGGAGUAAGUGGGGGAUCUUCGGAUCUCACGAUCUCAGGCGAGCCAAGGUCGGAUUAGCUAGUUGGUGGGGUAAAGGCCUACCAAGGCGACGAUCCGUAACUGGUCUGAGAGGAUGAUCAGCCACACUGGAACUGAGACACGGUCCAGACUCCUACGGGAGGCAGCAGUGGGGAAUAUUGGACAAUGGGCGCAAGCCUGAUCCAGCCAUGCCGCGUGUGUGAAGAAGGCCUUCGGAUUGUAAAGCCCUUUUGUUUGGGAAGAAAAGCAGUAGGUUAAUACCUCGCUGUUUUGACGUUACCAAAAGAAUAAGCACCGGCUAACUUCGUG
rnacentral:rRNA from 1 species